AUGAAGGUCUUGUCAGUGUCGCAGCUCUUUCCCUGUGUUCUCUUCCUCACCAUCUUGUUCGCUUGGCCGGCCACCGAGUCGGCGACCAGCCCCGUGACCAUGCGCGCCGACCUUACCCACGCGGACAGCGGCCGCGGCUUCACCAGGCGCGAGCUUCUCAGCCGGAUGGCCGCCCGGUCAAAGGCCCGCGUGGCCAGCCUGCACUCCUCCGCCUCUCCCGGCGCGGUGACCGCGCCGGUGGCCCGAGGCACCGUCGGCAGAGACGACAUCAGUUCCGAGUACCUCAUCCACGUCAGCAUCGGCACGCCGCGCCCGCAGCGCGUGGCACUGGAGCUGGACACCGGCAGCGACCUUAUCUGGACGCAGUGCGCUUGCGUGGACUGCUUCGACCAGCCGUUCCCGGUUCUCAACACCUCCGCCUCCCGCACCCUCCGUGAUGUCUCGUGCUCAGACCCUCUCUGCACGCGGGGCGGCCUCCCGCUCUCUCGGUGCGCCGUCAAAGACAACUUCUGCUCGUACGCCUACUACUACGGCGACGGAUCCGUCACAAUGGGUAAGAUCGUCGAGGACACUUUCACAUUCAAGGCGCCCCACAACAAGUGCGGCACGGUCGCCACCGUGUCGAACCUCCACUUUGGCUGUGGCAUGGACAACAAAGGCACCUUCAUAUCGAACGAGUCUGGCAUCGCCGGCUUCGGCCGCGGCCCGAUGUCUCUGCCGUCGCAGCUCAAGGUGCACAGAUUCUUCCACUGCUUGACAACCAUUGUAGAGUCCGGGACCAGCCCGGUGUUCCUGGGCACGCCUGACAACCUCGAAGCGCACGUCACGGGGCCCAUCCAGUCCACCCCGUUCGUCCCAAACAUUGGGAGUGCGCUCAGCUCGUUCUACUACCUUUCACUCAAAGGCAUCACCGUCGGCAAGACGCGCCUGCCGUUCGACGCGUCGGCGUUCGCGCUCAAGCGCGAUGGCUCCGGGGGGACAAUCAUCGACUCGGGCACGAGCAUCACGAUCUUACAGCGGGCCAUGUUCCGAAGCCUCCGGCAGGCGUUCGUGUCGUAG
rnacentral:rRNA from 1 species